GACGAACGCUGGCGGCGUGCCUAAUACAUGCGAGUAGAACGCUGAAGAGAGGAGCUUGCUCUUCUUGGAUGAGUUGCGAACGGGUGAGUAACGCGUAGGUAACCUGCCUUGUAGCGGGGGAUAACUAUUGGAAACGAUAGCUAAUACCGCAUAACAAUGGAUGACACAUGUCAUUUAUUUGAAAGGGGCAAUUGCUCCACUACAAGAUGGACCUGCGUUGUAUUAGCUAGUAGGUGAGGUAAUGGCUCACCUAGGCGACGAUACAUAGCCGACCUGAGAGGGUGAUCGGCCACACUGGGACUGAGACACGGCCCAGACUCCUACGGGAGGCAGCAGUAGGGAAUCUUCGGCAAUGGGGACAACCCUGACCGAGCAACGCCGCGUGAGUGAAGAAGGUUUUCGGAUCGUAAAGCUCUGUUGUAAGUCAAGAACGGGUGUGAGAGUGGAAAGUUCACACUGUGACGGUAGCUUACCAGAAAGGGACGGCUAACUACGUG
rnacentral:rRNA from 1 species